rnacentral:tRNA from 1 species
GUUUUAAUAGUUUAAUGAAAACGUUGGUCUUGUAAACCAAAAUUAAUAAAAAAAUUUUAAAACU